UACGUAGGGGGCAAGCGUUGUCCGGAAUCAUUGGGCGAAAGCGCGUGUAGGCGCCAGGAAAAGUCCGCUGUGAAAACUCGAGGCUCAACUUCGAGCUGUACGGUGGAAACUUUCUGGCUAGAGUCCGGAAAGAGGAGAAUGGAAUUCCUGGGUGAUAGCGGUGGAAAUACGCAGAUAUCAGGAAGAACACCCGUGGCUAAGGCGGCUCUCUAGUACGGUACUGACGCUG
rnacentral:rRNA from 1 species